AUUGUGCAUUUGGAAAAGUACACGAAAACAAAAGCAUUCAAGAAAGUUACGACAUACACCAUGCAAAGCCAGGAGAACAGUAACUUGACCACGUGUAUGCUUUUACUUAAUUAACAUACAUUUUAUUUCAACAUAUUCUCUGCGGUUUCUUCACUAUACGUGUAUAAUGAUGCCACACAGGUGGACCCAUGAGGUACUUCGUCCGGUCACUAAAGCUCUUGACGUCGCCGUCAUUGAUGUAUUGGGGUUUGACUAAAAUUUCCAUCGUUGUAUAACAUCUCGGGUCCAACUUCUGUGCCCAUUAUCCAGCCAUAGUUACAUACAUAGACGAGAUGCAUGCAAUCAUUUUAUAGUCAAUAAUGGAUGCAUGAAAUUUCAUAGGUGAAGGCAUAUCUUACAUGACUCCCUUGCUUCUUUCUUUACUCGACCCGGUCCAAUAAGAGGUUAACAUACAUAUGGCAUGUCACACAUGGGCUAUGCUGUUCGAUACAGGAUGUCAUGAUGAAGUACAUGUUUCAUUGUUUAAAAAAAAAUCCAUAGACCCUUAAUAAGUGUUUUUUGUCUUCGUACUAUAUAAUAGACAUUACAUCUUUGUUCCCUACCUUCGACGACAUAGACUCUCUAAAAGUUGCAAUGUUCUCUUAUAUGCAAAUUUUUAAGUUGUUAUGUCAUUUAGCUCAAAUUUAUUUGGUGUACCAUCAAUCAUUGUCAUUGAUUCACUCACUUGGGUAAGUAUUCCCUUAAAAUAUACGGGUAUUACACAUCCCCUUAUGAACAACCAUCUUCUUUAAUAUAGAACCUAAGAUGCACAUAACCACCCCGUGCGAACGUACGGUUUGACAGCUAGUUAAUUUAAUGCCAAGCUUAUCUCGAGCAUCCUAGUAAAAAAUAGUGCAAUACCCAGCUCCAGUUAGCGAUCGUUAAGGGAGCUUCAUGCCCAGUGAACGACGACUUUGCACAGGCAAACUACAAAACCUGCCCCUUUAUUACAUUGUUGGUAUGUUUGGCAUGGACAUUAGCCCCUAGCAGCUCCUGCAGCCCCUGAACAAGCUCUCGAGGGUCGCCAAGCACUAGCUCCCUCGCCUCAUAAGACACAACCUAGGUGUGCUCGUUCUUAUGCUGUUCAACCUGAACUGAAGGUUGACGGAGAGAGGUUGCGAUUUUAGGUACUCUAUCGGCAUAUUGAAGAUGCGUCACUAGGUAAUGUGUCUUGCUUCUAACGGGACACGCGGGAGUGCUUCUGAUGAGCUUCAAGCCGGAACGGAGAUCCCUUCCCUCUGCN
rnacentral:lncRNA from 1 species